rnacentral:rRNA from 1 species
UACGGGGGGGGCAGCGUUGUUCGGAAUUACUGGGCGUAAAGGGCUUGUAGGUGGCCAACUAAGUCAGACGUGAAAUCCCUCGGCUUAACCGGGGAACUGCGUCUGAUACUGGAUGGCUUGAGUUUGGGAGAGGGAUGCGGAAUUCCAGGUGUAGCGGUGAAAUGCGUAGAUAUCUGGAGGAACACCGGUGGCGAAGGCGGCAUCCUGGACCAACACUGACACUGAAAAGCGAAAGCCAGGGGAGACAAACGGG